GGUCAUUUAGAGGAAGUAAAAGUCGUAACAAGGUUUGACCGAGUUGGAAGAUCCUUCCCCAGUGACACUCACAGAAGCCUUUGCAGCCCCGCAAGGGGUGUGCUCCCUGCGACGGUAAAUAAUUUGGAGCCCCGAGCCUUGGAUGUCCAGGGCUCGUGCGGUACUUUCGAAUUGCGGGGAUACCCUAAAGCUCUACUCUACUAACCCACGGGGCAACCUGCUUGGGGGCCUGUGCUAGCCACAUGGGAGCGAAGUUAAAAUUGAGUACGAGAUAAGAUGCCGUGUCCGGUGUCGGUAUGGGCGAUCCGCAUCCAGCUCCCCCAUGGGAGUCGGUUCACAGACUAAGUGAAAGUGGCGGCAACCCCGCUCAAGAUAUAGUCGGGCCCCCGAGGAAACUCAGGGGAUCAGUUCAACUGGCCUGUCUCUUCAUAGUAUAGGCGAUACAACCGUUCCGUAGGUGAACCUGCGGAAGGAUCAUUA
rnacentral:rRNA from 1 species